GCAAGACGCCACCAAGGUGUUCAGGAGCCAGAGCAACUGUCCUGUAAGGAAAAGCUGGAGGAUUUGGGCUUAAUCAGCCUGGGGAAGAGAUGUUUUAGGGAGGACCUAACAGAAGCCUGCCAGUGCCUACUGGGAGGCUUUCAAGACUCAACUGGACUAAGCCCUGAACAGCGCAGUCUGAAUUCAUUGUCAAAUCUGCCCUGAGCAGGAGAUUGGACUAGAGACCUCCCAAGGUAAUUUCCAACUUGAAUGUUUCUGUAUUUAACCACCAAUGAAUCUGGAGUCUGUUAGGAAAUGGGAAAUAGAUUUAUCUUAAAAUAAUUGAAGAAAACAUUGAUUUUUCCAUUUUUAAAAGCAUGCUUUGGAAGAAGUCAAAAUUUCAUGACCUGCUAGCCAGGAAAGCUUUGUGAAGAUGAAAGGAAGGUAAAUAGGCAAGAAAUUAUUAGGGUUUAAAGUGUUAUCCUGUUACCCAAAUGCCAUCUCAGAACUGCAGCUAGUUUAGAUCUCAUGAUGCCCCUCUGAAAUGUGUUCAGUGUUGUACAAGCAAUAGUACAAGCAAUAGCUGUUUUUUCCUGUUCCUAUCACGAUUCACCUUUUGCUUAUGCUUGCUUUUUAGUUUGGUGGACAUUGUCAGUCUGAGAGACCUCCCUUCAGUAAGAACCCAGGGUCAGCUUGCUGUGUAUGAGGAUGGGUUAGUUUUAACAGUCCAUUCCUCCAGAGGAUCCUUCCACUGUGCACUCCCUCUUGUCACCAUCUGAAACAUAUGGGGUAGAUUCCCUGCACGCAAGUGCAGAUGUCCACAGCACAGAUUUCCAUAUUUGAGCUAGCCAAUGUACCUUCCACGAACAUGCCUUAUGAUUAGUGAAAGCACAAAACGUAGAGAUCUCCACCACCCAGUUUUAGACUUCUACAUUAGAAUAAGACUAAUCACAGUGCGGGUGUCUGCAUUUGCCAGAGGGAAUAUCACCAUGGUAUUUGCAUUGUAUUGGGACUGAGUCUUUCACCUCAGCUAGAAUACAAAAGCAUGGGAAAUUGUGCUAUGGCAUCCAUAUAGCACUCUCAUGCAACUUAUGGCUACUAGCAAGCUAAACUAGAAUUAAAUCAAUGUGCAAGGGAAGGUAAAAGUCUUUGUAAGCCACUAGCAUUCUCCCACGCAGCCCAUUUCCCAUCAAUGAGAUGCUGUGCCAGUGACCUCCACAGUAACACUACACUGCGGACCUAGUUGAGCAUUCAGUCUAAUUCAUGCUCUUAUGACAAACAACAGAUGUUCUUUUCAGCACAUUUCCACUGAUCUUUGCUAUGUCAUUUGUGCUGGAUUUUCCUGCCAUAAUUAAAUAUCGUAAUUAAAUAUUUUCUUUCCUUUUUUUAUUAAUUUAUUUGAAUUUGUCUUCCCUGCAGUAUGGGCAGAUUAACUCAGCCAUUGGCAGAUAUUCUUUUUCAUUCCAGUCUCACCACUGAAAUCUUACAAGUACUGGUGAAAACUAGGUAAUUUUCCUCCUGUCUUCACCCCUCAAGGAAUGUCACAGAUCACUGUGUAAUUUGUAUGCACAUAUCAAAUGAAAAACUGAAAAAUUUUCUCAGUUUAAAAGUAAAAAUGUCCCUCCGUGUUCCUCCAAUGGGACACCCUGUAGACUUUUUCUGAAAACUUUUCUUUCUUCUCCCUCAUAUAUGAUCUUCCCUUAAAAAAAAAACCAAAAAACCAAAAUUAAAUUAAAAACCAUUUCUGCUGUUUUACAGUGUCAAUAAUACUUUUGGGCCAACAUUAGAAUUGUUCUUAUAUAUUAUCCCAAAUAACUAUGGUUAAAAUAGGGAUUUUUCAUCACUUAGAAAAACCUAAAUGUCAGGAAAGGAAUUUUCAAACUUUUUUUUUUUUUUUUUUAACUACCAGAACUGUUAGGAAACUCUCUGAAUAAAAUUAUAUGCUGUCAAAAGAUGGGCUUAUGUUUCAGAAGACAUACCACCACAUUUCCAAAAGACAAAGACCUCUGGAUGUGACGGUACAGCUCCAUUAACAUAAAGGAUAAAGCUGCCUUUUAUUGCAGUGAGAUUGCUCCUUUUUGUUGAAAUGAAAGAAAAGUACAGAAAAUAGUCCCAAAAUCUUGUGUAAAGUUGAUAUCUAAGAUAAAUACAAGACCUACAUGCUUUCCUAGGAUCUGUUUCCCCGCGUAUUUGGGGGUCAUGUGGUUUUUCCAGACAUGCUGGUUUCUGUUUAAGCAAUAGUCCUUGCAGAAUAUGGAGGAAUCUACAGCUACAGCCCAAGGCACCUCACUUUGCAAGUCUCCUCAGUACCUGCCUUCAGCCAACUGAGAAGGAAGGGCUUUCCCAAGAGGGUGACUUGAGGAGUCUAGCUUAGCCUAGCCACAGUACCUUCCUCACUAAAAGCCACACAAAGUUAAGAAAUGUGAAUACCACUUCACAACCUUUAAUGUGAACACGGUGUCUCCAUGGGCUGUCCCCCAUUUGCAGUGGUGCAGAUGUGGGAGAAAGUUCAUUAAUUUCCUUUUCCUCAUGGAAAUGCAACAUGGCAGAAGAUGAGCAAACAGAACCUCAGGGUAAUUGCAACCCAUCCCUCACCACAAACCACACUUCCUGAAACAAUGCACCGGAAUCUUUAAGCCAAAUACCAGUUGCAGUGCUUUACAGACUGAAAGAAAAGUGUUCCACGUCACAACAGAUCGCAGAUGAAGAGACAACAGCUCCACGAAUCAACCACAGUGAAGGAGCUCAGACCUAGGGUAAUGGGUGAGCACCACCGAAGGGGUUAGUGCAGGGAAUUCAGGUUGUUGCUCUACAAGAUGCUCAGGUGAGCUGUUCUACAUUGCAAGGACCAAAGCUGAAACCUUUCUGUGGGUAAGGCAGCAUGGUCUGCUCAGUCAGUGAGGAAUGAUCAGCCAGAGCCCCUUUCUAGCAACUGGCUGUUGGGGAUGAGCACGGCCACUCCAGGACAGGUCCACAUCAAAAAAGAAGCUUGUUUGGCUUCUUUAGGAGAAGCCUUCCUGGGGACUUGCCAGAGACCUCAAUCCCAUCUUCUCUGAUGCAGGAUAGACACUUGAGAACAUGCUUAACUUUAAGCAUAUGAGUGGUCCUAUGGACAUCAAUGGGGUUGCUAAUGUGCCUAAAGUUAAAUAUGUAUCAAGUGCUGUGCUGGAAUAGGGCCAAGGACUCAAAAAACUUGCAGGAUCAAGGUUUGGCUGAAGAACAGAGAGUAAGAAGGGAGACAAAAGCGGAGAGAUACCGAGUUGCUCUCAUGCCCUCUUGCAUCAGUCCCUCAUGGAAGCAAGCCCGAGGAUAAACCCCGUAUUGCAGUAAACUUUAAAGACGUACCUGUAAAGAAAUCUCAUACACUAAAAGAUACUGUAAACACAUUUUACAGCACACAACGUCUUUUGAUUUUGAGAUGGUAUUACAUUUUACAGCAGAUACAGUGAUGUCACUGCAGGAAAACAUCACAGAAACAUUGCAGCAGGGCUCCCAGCGCGGGCCUGGCUGACUCACCCUCACAGCUGCGGCAAAGCAGUCCAAUGUGUUUCUGGAGAGCAGUCUUGCUUGUGAAGUCUUGAUUGCGACACUCUGAGUGCAGGGGAAUGCAGCCGUUUUUCGUUUCUUGUGGCAGUCAGAAAGUUUCAUUGAAUAUUUCUGAGCUCUCAAUCUCUUCCAAAACACAUGAUGAAUUUCCUGGCUUUCUUCCUUAAAAUCUGUUCUGGGUUUCUACCCCUGUCCCCUCUCAAACUACUUUAUGUGCACAUAAAUUAAAAAAAAAAUAAUAUAUAUAUAUAUAUAAAGCACCCUGUAUUUUCAAAAUUUAUUUUUAACUCUUUUUCCAAACUUUGUCAAUUUUUAUAUGCGAUCACUUUUAUGUUUAAAUUAUUUGUAUUCUGAACUUAUCACUGGAAUCCACCAGCAAAGUUAAAAUAAAAAGUUGUCCUUUUGCUAUUAGUAAUGCAACACUGCCAACUAGAGGCAUUGGGAACGACCAAAUUCUUGUCUUAUGGACCGCAUCGAUAAAUCUAAAGGGUUGUAUAACUAUAAACUCUGAAAGAUUUUAUUUGCUCUACAGAAAUUCCACCUGAAUCCUCCAACUACAUUGGUGUUUGCAUUUUAUUUUCUUUAGAUUUUGAUGCUUCAUUAAGUCAUUAUUUAACCCAAACACCACAUCACAUCAUCCAGAAACUCAAACAUAAUCAAGUCAGAUCUCCAAUUACUUCAGGUUCCUCAAAGAGUUACUGAGCCAUUCUACCAGCUUUUGGAAAUAUGGCUCCACAAGACAUUGCAAGUAUUUAAAAGAUCAAAAAUUUAUAACUUUGAGGGAAAAAUAAAUACUAGCUAUCAUUUUCUCAAUGCACAAUUGAAAUAAGACUUCAUAAUCUGUUGGAAUAAAGAAAUAAUAAUCUAUUCAUGUGGGCUAAAAUCCAGUUUCUGUAAGUUUUCAGCUCUGUAAGAUGGCGUACACUUUGAGGAGAGGUAUUUGUUCACUGCUGAAGCAAUAAGAUUGAACAGAGAGAAAACAUGCACUUGACCAGAAAAAGCUUAGUUACUGCCCACUGCGUGUGAUUCCCUGACCUGUACGUGCUUGCUAGUUCAUUGUAUUGGAAGAGACUCAACAUGAAGCUGCCGAUGUUCGUGCACCGUGCACAGACUGGGGCUCCGCUGACCCUGCCCUCUUCCCUGCCAUGCCCAUGAUGGCAGGGCACAGCACCGUGCAGCUGCCCACUAUCCAGCAAGAGGCAGCUGGAGCAGAGGAGGACAGGGACCUUCUGCAGGUCCUCAUGCCGGCCAAGGUCCAACAAAGCCUUGGGGAAAGGCUCUUUCAGGUUGCCCCCCAUUCAUCUUCUGCCAUGUGACCAGAUCAAACACAACCCUGUGUGCAGGCAGAGUCUACUGGUAGGGAGAAAACUGCGAGUCCUGAGGAUGCACCAGGCUUCCAAGCUUAUCCACUGUGCUCCAGACUUAAAAGGUACUCCUGCCUUUUCUAAUUAAGGACUGUAAACAGAAAACAGCUUGAGGAGCUGUACCUGUAGCAGGUCCCCUGGGAAAAAUGUUUCUAAGGGACUCUUCUGAGAUGGCAAAAUGAAUGCAGGCAGGUGGCAAUCCUUCAUGCUCCUUCACUGCCAUCAGGAUCCGCCCAGCCAUGGCCAGGGAGUGUGCUGUACCCCUCCUGCCUGGCAGCAUCUGCCCUGGGGUGCACCAGGAGCUUGGGAGGCCAGAAUGGCUUCCAGGGCUUCCCCUUGCUAUUGCUCUGUGCUGAUAUUCAGAUGAAGAGAGGCCUGGAUCUAAAUAAACAUGGCUUUUCUUUAGCAGAAGCCUAGAAAAUUGGUUGAAAACUACACGGCUAGCACCACAGUGUAGCAGGAAGAUCUGCUGGUAGAAGGGCAAGCUCUGCCUGUCAGAGCUGACACAGCAUUAAACUAACAUACCGUGCAGAACAGUUUGUACUUUCAGACUGAAAGGAGGAGCCAACAAUCCAGCACUGUUUCCUUUUAUUUACCAAAACACAUUUAUUCUGUAAAACUCAGCAAAAUUCAUGAAAAAUAAUAAAUUACAUUUUUCCCCCGACAGCCUUCAAAGCUUUAUAUCUAUAAACGUGUCUGUGACAUCUGAGAAGCCUGGAGGGCAGGAAAAUCAUCUCAUUGGGAAGUGGAAGCCAGCAGACAGUAGUGACUCACAGAUGCACAGAGCAGCAGAGCAGCUGACAGCAAGGUGCCGAUUAAGCCUGGAACCAAGUUUUUCAGGGGCUGUCCCACGAGGCAGCUUAAGGAUGGAGGAGCCAGUUUCCCAAAAAUGUAGAGAAAACCCUGAGGGGGUUGGAGGUGACAGUAUUGGAAUAAGAUGAAGGCUUAGAACCGAAAGCGUAGACAUUGGCCUGGGAAGCAGAGAAUAUGGUUUCCAGCCAGUAUAAAUCACUGUAAAAACUAAUUCAAUAAAUGUUUUUCCCAUUAUAUUAUUAUGCUCAUGUUCCAUAACAAUGCCUUUACAGGAAUACAAAGCUAAAAAAGUACAGUGGUCCCGUGGAAGCAAACCACUGGGCCCAGGCAACACUGGAGCAGUCUGCCCACUUGAGCAUUACCUAGAGCAAUGCUUUUAGGAAAGGGGAAAAAAAUAAAAAAGGAGGGGGGAAAUAAAAAAAAAAAAAGCAUCUGUUGUGAAUCAGCUUGUAAUACCAGAAGUUGCAUUUCCAUAAUGUUGAACCUUUUGAAAGACACACACAGAAACAAAGCAGUAUGUCAUAUCUAGAUUUCUGUUAACUUCUGUACUGAAAUGAACCAGAAGUUUUCUAAUAAUGAUUUUUGGCUGUGAGUCAAAAUCUAAGCCAAAUCGACACUUGCAAGGUUUUUCCAUUUAUUCAUUGUUCUGUUUGGCAGUAAAAGUUAAUGCUCAGCACUCUAAGCCCAAAGCGUAGUUCUCAGGUCUGGUACUGUGCCCUGAGGUCCAGACCCACUGCACACCGGUUAGCUGUGUCAGAAGUACCUCUCUUCCAUGAAAAUAUGUGCUCUGUGAAGCUUUCUCAUAUUGUUUACUGUAAAAUUUGUUUGGGCAUUAUGUCUUUCUAAUCUCCUAAUUAAUUUUGUAUUGAUUUGCAAAGGCAGAUUGGGCAUAUGUAAAAGUCUUUUACAGAGCUGCUGAAGGAUGUUGCAGGAACAACACUGAAUUACUGUCACAGGAGCUGUGGUCUCAUCCCUUGUUUAUGCAUGAACUAAGGCAGAGCUGGACAGAAGAACUUUGUCAGCAGCCUCCCUUUCUAGGGAAGGAGAUCAACAACAAAUGUUUAACCCUCCAAAUCAGCCCAUGAUGAUCAGUCUUGCUGUUAGUGAGCGCUAGCUGGAGGUACCAUCUAAGACAGACUCAAGGACUCUUCAGCUUCUUGCCAUCAACCUUUUUUAAUUCUAAUGUCCUGUUGAAAGGAUUAUUAUAAGUUGCCUAUUUAUAGUCUCCUGAAUCGAUGUUUCAUUUGAUGAGUCUGCCUGCCUGAAGCAGCCUAGCGAGGUAAAGCCUUUAAAACUCAGGGCAGUCACUGGCUUCUCUCUGAAUGAACACAGCUCACCUCAAAGUUAUGACAUAAGUCAGAAGGAAAUCAGACUUUUAACAGAAGAAUUUUAACAGGGUUUUCAGGAUGCCAGGGUGAAAAUCAGCUACUUCUGUUUACAUCAAUAUUGUGCCAGAGAAAACUAGCCAUUCUGACUGUCAAGGGAUAGGCAUUAAUAUUUAAACACAAAAGGCCUUCUGGUGUUUUGAAGAUUUUCUUCUCAUAAGGCUUUGAAAAAUUACAGUACUGACAAUGUUGGCUUGCUCCACCAUGCACUUGAGUUAGACACAUUCUUAAGACAGUUCUCUUUAGCAGGUUCAAAAACAAAGAAGAAAAAUCUACCUGCCACUGUGCCACAGUUAAUAUCCUUUACAAAUGUAUCACAGCAGUUUUUAAAAGCAAAACUAGGAGCUCUGUGAUAUCAACUUUCAAAAAUAAAUUAAAAAAAAGCUCAAACAUUGCAAUGUUGUCCAUCAUCACUUAAUUCAUGAUAAGUCUCGCCACACAUAUGCCUGUGCAAUUAAAACUGUAAGGAUAAUAUAGCAGGUAUAUAUUACAAAACCACACAGAAUAAAAGUGUCACUAUGGGAUCUUUUUCCCUAGAAAUUCCCUCAGAUGUGGACUUUUUUCUUUUAUCUUCUGUUCUCAUACUAGGAAUUUUCAUAUUCAGCAAAUUCAGAUCUGUACUCAGCUUAAGGGUUCAAAUAAAGACAUUCCCACAGGCUGGCAAAUCUGAUACGGGUAUCAUGGUAACUAAGCCCAACGUUGCCUGCACUGGUGCUCAUGGCCCACAGAGUUCCUGCAGCUCAGUGAACACCGAGUAGCUCAUUACACCAUCAUAACUGAAUCACGUAAGUGAGCCAUACCUGUGAAAACACUCUGGAAAAGACAUAAGUUGAACUACAGAGCCCUAGGGAUCUCCGCAGCCUGUGGAUAGGAAAGACUGCUCAGACUGGCAGCGAUGCUCAUCCUCUCACUGACUCGUGCUGCAGACUGCAGCAAGCUACUUGGGUUUGAAGACUCCCUUUUCUGUCUACACCAUGGCACCACUUUUGGCACUGAAGGUUUUGUGCACCUUACCCAGGUAAGUAUUUUGUCUAAGUUUUGACUCAAUAAAAUUUUAUAGGAAUAAAUUUUGUUUCUCUUAUGCAGUCAUUUCAGCUUAUGCAUAAAUGAAAGAAAAUGUCAUAUGGGGUUGUCCUGUUACACCCUGAUCAGCUUGUUGUUCCUUGCAUAAGGGUAUACCCUGCCUUGUGCUGGAACAAACACUAAUGAGGCCGCAGAAAGGAUGAGAUCAGGGAAUUGAUUAAUACAGUUGGUUGGGCUUUUUUCUGAACUAGCAUUUGCGCAGCACUAUGUAAAGCAAAAUUUAAGUCAGUUUCACAUUUUGUAAAUGGGCUACAUGUAUAGAUAUGUACCUAAAUCCACUGCUGCAUGACUCGCACAAAAGCAGUGGCAUGCGAUUCCAAGUAUCAGUUACCCUACAAUGUCUUUUGCUUUCUAGAAGUCUGUUCUUUUCACACGCUUUUUUGCUGCCUUGCUCUGCCCCAUAUUCAGCUAAUUCUUACAUUUCCUAAUUUUCACCUCGAUACAACUGCAUAUACACAGUUAACCUAUAGUUAAUUGUACUUCCAAAAUGAAUCUUUUAGAACGGAAGAGAAAAAUAGGAACACCUUCUGCCCACAUUACCCUUGAG